UGGAGAGGGGCAUGCCCCUUGGGAGGGGGCACAACAGGGAGUUCGGGGUGGGGGGCCUGGGAAUACGCUGCAUCUUGAUCUGGAUGCUGGCUACACGGGUGUGCCCAGCUUGUAAAGAUUCAUCAAGCUGUACAUUUAGGAGUUAGGUACUUUUCUGUCUGUGUGCUGCACUUCAAUAGAAUGUUAACAAAAUAAAAAAUACAAUACAUAGGGAAUUCCCUGGCGGUCCAGUGCUUAGGACUCCGUGCUUUCACUACCGAGGGCGUGGCUUCGAUCCCUGGUCGGGGAACUAAUAUGAUCCCGCAAGCCGCGGAGGCGUGGCCAAAAAGAAAAACAAAUGCAAUAAAUAAAAAACUACGCAAACAAACUGGGGAAGGAGAAGGCUUAUAAUUGCAUGCGAGCUCUUGGGCAGGAGACCGGGAUGCAGGAGAGUGGGGGACACUGUGGGUGGAGUCGGGGUGGGGAGGCAGGGCAGUGAGGUUUUUCUAGAGACAGCCAGGAAGCACGGUUUAAAAUCACGGGAACAGAGGCAAACUUUCUGCUCCGUGAUAGAAGCAAGUCGUUGAGAGCAAUGCACCAGGUGGAUGGGCCAUGUUCAGGGUGAGGAUUCACAGCGCCCUGCCCACGGCCCAGGAUGCCAAAGCGAGAGCAGCAAGUAGGCAGCGUUAGCGGAUGGCCAGGCCCCCUGAUCCGGCCUUUCCUGCCAUCUUCCUCUCCUCCACAGGAACCUCCUUCCACUCCAGCCAAACCGCACUUUUCACUCUCCCCUAGACAGCUCUAGGAGUCAUCCGUUCCCUCUGCAUCCAGCGCCUGCCUAGCACUAUCUCUUGCCUAAGACCUGGCAAUGACCUCCUGACUGGCCCCCUUUGUCCGCUCCUGCCCCUCUGCCGUCCAUUUCCAGCACAGCAGCCAACAGCAACGACCAUCCCUGCAAAUCUCGACUGCUACUGGGUACCAGGUGCCCUUCCAGACACUCGGCACAUCCUGGGGAGCAAAAUGGAUGCCUGUCCUUGAGGUGCUUUUAUUCCAGCAGGAGAGAGAUGGAUGAUAAACAAUGAAGGUAACGGGUCUUAAAAUUGCCUCGGACAGUAGACAGUGAUACACACCAAGGAAAGAAAAGUGGGAGCAGGUGUUUACUCUAUGCCGAGCACUGUCCUGGGCGCCGGGGCACCGUGGAGAACAAGAUUGACAGGGUCCCUGUGCUAAGGGAGACGGACCAUAAACACAAAGCAAAUAGAGAAGAUAACUUCGGAUGAUGAUAUGAGCUGCAAAGAAGAUGAAACAGGGCAGCGUGGCUGCGAGGGGCGGGGAUGGCCAGGGAGGCCUCAUCCCGGGCAUGGCUUCUGAGCUGAGAGGGGACCAGCUGUCUGGGGAUAAGGGAAAAAGAGCUCCAGGCAGCUGAAGGCUAUUUUGCGUCAAUAAAAACGAAAUCGUCACCAUUGUCAUCAUCAUCAUCUAAUGGGGAAUGAAGGCAGAAGGCACAGAAGGGCCUCUGGGAUAGAGUUGCAAAGAGAUUUACAUGGAGAGUGACAAAGAAACAAAGCCGAGGGACGUUCCGACAUGGAUAAGUUCAAGAUGGACCCAGUUAAAUCAAGCAAAGUUGUCAGUGAAAUCAGAGAGCAAGUUGCAGUUUCAGGAGUGCCCGACACGCUCCAUAAUGGCGGCUGGUCUAAGAGGCGAUUACAUCCAGCUGGUCCCCUCUCCAGACCUAGGCUAGGAUUCGUUACAGAAGAUGGAUCACCUCACACACCUUUGGAGACAGAAGGCAGAAUUCCCCCAAACAAGAGAUGGUCUGAAGCCUCAUGGGGCCCCACCAUUAAACAUCUGCCCCAACACUCCAUUCUCUCUGCUUACAAGAUGUAAAUCUUUUUUUUUUUUUUUUGCGAUACGCGGGCCUCUCACUGCUGUGGCCUCUCCCGUUGCA